ensembl:lncRNA
AGUAACUUCUGGUUACUUAGUGAGGGCACCAAACCUGUUGGUUUGGGGUCCUUGUAAGAAGAGGAACUUGGGACACAGGCGUGUGUCUUCUCCGUGAGACGACACAGAGAAGAGAAAUGGACGUCUGCAAGCUAAGAAUGUCUGGAGACAAUGAAAUUGUUGGCUGGGAUUGUUUACUUUCUCCAGAGUUGGUGAUUCUGAUGCUCUGCAGAAACUAUCAAUACAUUUGGGAGAGAAUGAGCAGCGUCUGGGAAGAGUGCCUGAAUGAGGAGAGAAAUAGAGACCAAGAAGCGAGAGGAAGCGGAAAGGGGCAAGCACACAGAUGGGCCUGAGGAUGUCAACAGGGAGAGAGAGAGACGUUUACAGAAAAGAGGAAGGGCAGAAGACAGGGAAGAAAAGAAGGAAAGAAGCAAGCAGUCUGGGAUUUGAAGGGACCCAGGAGGAAAGGUGGGGAAAGAAAAGAGACAAAAAGCAAAGCAAGUAGUGAGCCUGAAACUGAGCUUCCUUUCUUUCCAUAGCUGACACUGAGUAGAGUCGAACUUCACAGGCCAGAAGCCAUCUGCGGCAUCAGCCCCAGUCCCACACCACUGCCAUGGGCUGUGGGGCUGCACUCACGGGUCAGGGCCGAAUGCAGCUGGAGAAACCCAGGAACUCCCAUAUGGUCAGAGGCUCUGCUCUCUUUACACAAAGCUGCUAUUGACAUCAAAGUGGCUCCCUGUGACCCGUGGUGUUCACUGUUCAAGCUCAGAGGCCUCUCUUUCAGUCUCAGGCCAUCUUUGUAACUGUUUAAACCAGUUGUCUUUAGGGAAGUAGACCCUAUGCCCAAAUUUGUAACGAUUUCUAUGUUUUCCAGGGUGUGGGUUUUGUUUAGUUUAACACCAAUAGUCAGUUGGUUCUGAGUGAUCUUUUCACCUCCUGGUGUCACUUAAAAAGAAGUUUUUUAAAAAGGACAUAUUUCUUUAUUUGUAAAUAUGUAUGCAUAUGUUGAGUAUGGAAACAUUUUGUGGGUACAUACACAGACACACAUAUACACACAUACACCCACAUAAGGC